AUGCUAACCACAAUUAGGACAAGUGAACCCAACAAGGGCACCAAGACUAAUAGUAACAUCCACUGCCAAAAGGAGAGGAAGAAGGCUUAUGGCCCACCCUACCCCCACCCCCCUGUUCCAUCAUGCAUGCAUAGCUUGCCUGCCCCCUCAAGUUGGUCCUUGAUGCAAUGUAUCCGCCCCUCCUCGCCUCCCCUCCAAGCUCCCCCGAGAUUUCAAACCCCACUCAUAAAAUUGUCUGCCCUCUCUCGCUUCCUCCGUCAUCAUGCUUGGCCUCUCCUCCCCCCAUCCCCAUCCGCAUCCCCAUCUCCGUCUCCGUCCGUCCACAGAAGCAGCGUCGCCACAGGGGAUACACGAGGCACCGCCCCCGCGCACGAUAUCUGCUUCGCCGUCAGGGGGAUCCGCGCGCCUUUGCCGGCCUCCUCCUUUCUCCCUGUGCCACCGUAA
rnacentral:rRNA from 1 species